UAUCUCUAACACUCGUGGGCCUGAGAGCGGAUGCGUUGAAGAUAACAUUGGGAAGGAAAUGAAGAUCCAGGGAUUUUUGUUAAUCGCUACCCUUUUGCUGUUUACUUCUUUCGUUCAGGAUAAAGUGGAGGCUUUCUGUGGUGGUUGUCCUCCUGGACGUAGGCAAUUGUCGUCAAAGUUUGAGCUGAGAGCCAGGAGUGUCUGUGAAGCGGCUAGGAACCUGGGUUGUGCUAAGAUAAAGUUGGACGUCUGACACAUGAGAAAUCGAAAAGAAAAAACCUAAGAAACUAAUAAUAACGAAAGACAAUACAUGUAAGCGCAUUACAAAAACAGUAUGAAUAAAUGACCAGGGGAAGUUAA